AGUGAACGCUGGCGGUAGGCCUAACACGUGCGAGUCGAACGGCAGCACAGUAAGAGCUUGCUCUUACGGGUGGCGAGUGGCGGACGAGUGAGGAAUACAUCGGAAUCUACUUUUUCGUGGGGGAUAACGUAGGGAAACUUACGCUAAUACCGCAUACGACCUACGGGUGAAAGCAGGGGAUCUUCGGACCUUGCGCGAUUGAAUGAGCCGAUGUCGGAUUAGCUAGUUGGCGGGGUAAAGGCCCACCAAGGCGACGAUCCGUAGCUGGUCUGAGAGGAUGAUCAGCCACACUGGAACUGAGACACGGUCCAGACUCCUACGGGAGGCAGCAGUGGGGAAUAUUGGACAAUGGGCGCAAGCCUGAUCCAGCCAUACCGCGUGGGUGAAGAAGGCCUUCGGGUUGUAAAGCCCUUUUGUUGGGAAAGAAAAGCAGCAGGUUAAUACCCCGCUGUUCUGACGGUACCCAAAGAAUAAGCACCGGCUAACUUCGUG
rnacentral:rRNA from 1 species